AGCUCUAAUAGCGUAUAUUAAAGUUGUUGCAGUUGAAACGCUCGUAGUUGAACGUAAGCAAAUUUCUUCAUCGUUGCUUUUUGGCAGUGGUGAAGAUUUCUUACUCGGUCUAUUUUGUUCGCAAAGCAGACCGAGUACGUUACUGUAAGAAAAUUAGAGUGUUUCAAGCAGGCGUUUUGUCUUGAAUACUUUAUUAUGGAAUAACAUCAUGAUUUGAUUUUUCUCGCGUCGGUUCUUGGAAAAUCAAUUAGUGAUUGAAAGAGACAGUCGGGGGCAUUCGUAUUUGGUAGCUAGAGGUGAAAUUCUUAGAUUUAUCAAAGACGCACUAUUGCGAAAGCAUUUGCCAAGGAUGUUCUCA
rnacentral:rRNA from 1 species